GAUGUUGCUGGACAAUGGCUGCCCCUUCAAGGACUAUUAUUUCCCAGCCUCUCCCCCUUGCAUCCAGGUAGACCCUGUUACCGAUGCAUGUCUACGUUACCUCUAGGAGACAGGUGGCUGACCCAUGCAUUGUACUGUAUGUCCACGGGCUUUCCAGGUUAAUUCUGCAUACGGGACAUAAUAAAAAGGCGCUUUUAGAGAGAGAGCUGGGCACUCUGUGGAGUUUCUUUAUAUGACCUGAGGCCUUACUCUAGU
rnacentral:lncRNA from 1 species